rnacentral:rRNA from 1 species
CACGGGGGGAGCAAACGUUGUUCGGAAUCACUGGGCGUAAAGGGCGCGUAGGCGGCCUCGUAAGUGGUGUGUGAAAUCUCCUGGCUCAACCAGGGAAUAGCGCUCCAAACUGCGGGGCUUGAGGGCAGUAGAGGAAGCUGGAAUUCCAGGUGUAGCGGUGAAAUGCGUAGAUAUCUGGAGGAACACCAUUGGCGAAGGCGAGCUUCUGGGCUGUCUCUGACGCUGAAGUGCGAAAGCUGGGGGAGCAAACAGG